rnacentral:rRNA from 1 species
AAUCAACGCUGGCGGCGUGCCUAACACAUGCAAGUCGAACGCGAAAGUGGCUUCGGCCGCGAGUAGAGUGGCAAACGGGUGAGUAACACGUGGGCGACCUGCCCUCGAGUGGGGGAUAACGUUCCGAAAGGGACGCUAAUACCGCAUGAUAUCCCGCCUUUGAAGAGGUGGAGAUCGAAGCCGGGGAUCGCAAGACCUGGCGCUCGAGGAGGGACCCGCGCCCGAUUAGCUAGUUGGUGGGGUAACGGCUCACCAAGGCGACGAUCGGUAGCCGGCCUGAGAGGGCGGACGGCCACACUGGGACUGAGACACGGCCCAGACUCCUACGGGAGGCAGCAGUGGGGAAUUGUUCGCAAUGGGCGCAAGCCUGACGACGCAACGCCGCGUGGAGGACGAAGAUCUUCGGAUCGUAAACUCCUGUCGAGUGGGACGAACGGCCCGGGACCUAAUACGUCUCGGGAGUGACGGUACCGCGAGAGGAAGCCCCGGCUAACUCCGUGCCAGCAGCCGCGGUAAUACGGGGGGGGCAAGCGUUGUUCGGAAUUACUGGGCGUAAAGGGCUCGUAGGCGGCCAACUAAGUCAGACGUGAAAUCCCUCGGCUCAACCGGGGAACUGCGUCUGAUACUGGUUGGCUCGAAUCCGGGAGAGGGAUGCAGAAUUCCAGGUGUAGCGGUGAAAUGCGUAGAUAUCUGGAGGAAUACCGGUGGCGAAGGCGGCAUCCUGGACCGGCAUUGACGCUGAUGAGCGAAAGCCAGGGGAGCAAACGGGAUUAGAUACCCCGGUAGUCCUGGCCCUAAACGAUGAAUGCUUGGUGUGGCGGGUAUCGAUCCCUGCCGUGCCGGAGCUAACGCGGUAAGCAUUCCGCCUGGGGAGUACGGUCGCAAGGCUGA